UCUAAUAUGGCAGAAAUAAAUAGUGCACUGGAUUUAAACCCCAUUUAUAGAGCUAAGCUUUUUUUAGAA
rnacentral:tRNA from 1 species